rnacentral:rRNA from 1 species
UGGGGAAUAUUGCACAAUGGGCGCAAGCCUGAUGCAGCCAUGCCGCGUGUAUGAAGAAGGCCUUCGGGUUGUAAAGUACUUUCAGUCGGGAGGAAGGUGGUAAGGUUAAUAACCUUGGCAAUUGACGUUACCGACAGAAGAAGCACCGGCUAACUCCGUGCCAGCAGCCGCGGUAAUACGGAGGGUGCAAGCGUUAAUCGGAAUUACUGGGCGUAAAGCGCACGCAGGCGGUUGAUUGAGUCAGAUGUGAAAUCCCCGGGCUUAACCCGGGAAGUGCAUCUGAUACUGGUAAGCUAGAGUCUGGUAGAGGGGGGUAGAAUUCCAUGUGUAGCGGUGAAAUGCGUAGAGAUGUGGAAGAAUACCGGUGGCGAAGGCGUCCCCCUGGACAAAGACUGACGCUCAGGUGCGAAAGCGUGGGGAGCAAACAGG